UAUUAUGCCAAGGAAGGAAAACAAGUUAACAUCUGGACUGAGUCCAAAUAUGCUUUUGGCAUAGUUCAUGCCCAUGGAGCAAUUUGGAAAGAAAGAGGACUUUUAACUGCUCAAGGAAAAGUUGUGAAAUAUGCUGAAG